rnacentral:rRNA from 1 species
GCUCAGUAACACGUGGAUAAUCUACCCUUAGGACUGGGAUAACCUUGGGAAACUGAGGAUAAUACCGGAUAGGCAAUUAUUCCUGCAAUGGUUCUUUGUUUAAAUGUUUUUUCGCCUAAGGAUGAGUCUGCGGCCGAUUAGGUAGUUGGUUAGGUAAUGGCUUACCAAGCCGUUGAUCGGUACGGGUUGUGAGAGCAAGAGCCCGGAGAUGGAACCUGAGACAAGGUUCCAGGCCCUACGGGGUGCAGCAGGCGCGAAACCUCCGCAAUGUGAGAAAUCGCGACGGGGGGAUCCCAAGUACCAUUCUUAACGGGAUGGCUUUUCAUUAGUGUAAAGAGCUUUUGGAAUAAGAGCUGGGCAAGACCGGUGCCAGCCGCCGCGGUAACACCGGCAGCUCUAGUGGUAGCAAUUUUUAUUGGGCCUAAAGCGUCCGUAGCCGGUUUAAUAAGUCUCUGGUGAAAUCCUGUAGCUUAACUGUGGGAAUUGCUGGAGAUACUAUUAGACUUGAGACCGGGAGAGGUUAGAGGUACUCCCAGGGUAGAGGUGAAAUUCUGUAAUCCUGGGAGGACCGCCUGUUGCGAAGGCGUCUAACUGGAACGGUUCUGACGGUGAGGGACGAAAGUUAGGGGCGCGAACCGGAUUAGAUACCCGGGUAGUCCUAACUGUAAACGAUGCGGACUUGGUGUUGGGGUGGCUUUGAGCUGCUCCAGUGCCGAAGGGAAGCUGUUAAGUCCGCCGCCUGGGAAGUACGGUCGCAAGACUGAAACUUAAAGGAAUUGGCGGGGGAGCAC